rnacentral:rRNA from 1 species
GACGAACGCUGGCGGCGUGCUUAACACAUGCAAGUCGAACGGUGAAGGUGGAGCUUGCUCCGCCGGAUCAGUGGCGAACGGGUGAGUAACACGUGGGCAACCUGCCCCUCACUUCGGGAUAACUCCGGGAAACCGGGGCUAAUACCGAAUACGACCUCCUUGGGCAUCCCGGGAGGUGGAAAGUUUUUCGGUGAGGGAUGGGCCCGCGGCCUAUCAGCUUGUUGGUGAGGUAACGGCUCACCAAGGCGACGACGGGUAGCCGGCCUGAGAGGGCGACCGGCCACACUGGGACUGAGACACGGCCCAGACUCCUACGGGAGGCAGCAGUGGGGAAUAUUGCGCAAUGGGCGAAAGCCUGACGCAGCAACGCCGCGUGCGGGAUGAAGGCCUUCGGGUUGUAAACCGCUUUCAGCAGGGAAGAAGCCGCAAGGUGACGGUACCUGCAGAAGAAGCACCGGCUAACUACGUGCCAGCCGCCGCGGAAA